ACGGGUGAGUAACGCGUGGGAAUCUACCCUUUUCUACGGAAUAACGCAUGGAAACGUGUGCUAAUACCGUAUACGGCCGAGAGGCGAAAGAUUUAUCGGAGAAGGAUGAGCCCGCGUUGGAUUAGCUAGUUGGUGGGGUAAAGGCCUACCAAGGCGACGAUCCAUAGCUGGUCUGAGAGGAUGAUCAGCCACACUGGGACUGAGACACGGCCCAGACUCCUACGGGAGGCAGCAGUGGGGAAUAUUGGACAAUGGGCGCAAGCCUGAUCCAGCCAUGCCGCGUGUGUGAUGAAGGCCCUAGGGUUGUAAAGCACUUUCACCGGAGAAGAUAAUGACGGUAUCCGGAGAAGAAGCCCCGGCUAACUUCGUGCCAGCAGCCGCGGUAAUACGAAGGGGGCUAGCGUUGUUCGGAUUUACUGGGCGUAAAGCGCACGUAGGCGGACUAUUAAGUCAGGGGUGAAAUCCCGGGGCUCAACCCCGGAACUGCCUUUGAUACUGGUAGUCUUGAGUUCGAGAGAGGUGAGUGGAAUUCCGAGUGUAGAGGUGAAAUUCGUAGA
rnacentral:rRNA from 2 species